GCUUUCUCACAUGGAGAAAGUCUCUGUGAUUAGGACAUGGACGUAUCUGAGUGAUGAGUAUGCUGUAAAUCCCUUCCAUACAUUCAUUCACCAGUGGUUGGUCAUAUACACACAAGAAAAGCCAAGAUAAUUUAUAAGACUUUUAGAGUUAAUAAUGAAAUUUAAAAGUAUGAUUCAAGUUUUUUUUUCGUGUAUGUGCAUAGUUCAGGCACAAAGAGGUGAAAAAUAUAAUUUUAAACAAGUUUCACAACUUAACAAAAACCAAACUAUACAGUAUGUUGCAAGUAAAUCUACCAAGGUCCAUGUAUGCACCUGCAGUCCUAGUAUCUGGGUGGCUAAAGCAGAAGCCCACCAUGAUUGUAAAGGCAGCCUGGGCUUUAUAGAAAAAUCUUGUCUCCAAAACCAAAAACCAAACCACCAUGUAAUGAACAGUUUCACAUAAUUACGAGGGAAAUUGGAGGGCCAGGGAGUUGACUCACUGGGUGUUUGUUGCCAAGCGUAAUGACUUGAGUUCGAUCCCUGGAACACAUGGUGAAACAGAAAACAAACUUAAUUCAAUUUGACAUUUGACGUCCAUGCACCCAAAAAAAAAAUAGGAGUUUAAAAAAAAGAUGUUUUUAUUUGUGAAAAGCAAUGAACUUCUAAUGUCUAGUUUGGUGUAUAGGGACCUUGGAAGUUAUCACUUAGUCCUAAUAAUUAGAAACGAAAAAGUUAGCACUGCUUGUGUUUGUCAAAGGAGUGUUGUCACAAGGCACUCAUUAUUUUUGCUGCAAAAGAUGGAAUCAAUCAGUAAGUGUAGUUUGAGUGCCAGGCACCACCUCAUCUUUGGAAUAAGACAGACGAUUUUUUUCCACCCGUGUUUUAGUGUCAGUAUCAAGAGCUGCAUUUAUCCAGUUCUGUUUGAUGCCAGGACAACACUGAAGAAUGUGUAAUAGGAACUAGAUUAAAUCAGUAGUCCGUAAGUUUGGAAUCUUCGGCGCCCAACAGACCUGGGUUUCUGUUCUCCUCCUGGAAUGUGUGAUGGUGAGCCCAUCACCCAAGCUCUCGGAAACUGGGUUUUGUCAUCUGCAAAAUGGAAAUAAUAACCUAUGAUCCUGUGGUAAGGCACUGAGCACGUGCAUAGUGUGUCACCUGGCAUGUGUCUGUCAUGAGGGCUGAUGCAAUCUAAAGCCACAUCACUCCAUUGUAAUAGUGGGUUUUACCUGGAUACCGUGGUAAGGAAGCAAUGGUCCGGUUUCAUGCAACUGUAGGACCGUAUCUCCCGCUUCUGUUUUAGGACUUGGCUAUGGAAUAGAAGAAAGGUUAAAAAUGCUCCAGAACGCUGAAGCAGAGCAGACAUUUAGCCUGUGGCAAAAGCCACUUUCUACCCCUUUUACUUCCGUUACUCAUCAGGUAGACACGGGGUUUCUUUGUUUGACUUUCUGCUUUUCUCGCUUGUUUUCUGAUUCUGCUAUGCCCUGUGUUUUCUCCUUUGCCAUUUGACCAUUGCUCGCCCACGUAAA
rnacentral:lncRNA from 1 species